GCCGCAUCAGUGAUGAAGUGCGGGAAGGGCAAAGUUUGGCUCGAUCCCAAUGAAAGCUCCGACAUCUCCAUGGCCAAUUCCCGCCAAAACAUCAGGAAGCUUGUGAAGGAUGGUUUCAUCAUCAGG